rnacentral:sRNA from 1 species
GAAAGGGCCCCUGCAAGAAUACUUCUUAGGUUUGCCAGCAGUAGAAUCUGCAUCUGGGACUGUGCCUGGAAAGGGGCACUAUGGAAGGUCCCAAAAUUACUAGCAACGAUUUCAAUUCAGCAAACCUUUCUGGGAAGGACACUUAGGUUGGGUAGAACAUAGCAUAAGAAGUGCCAAUAUAGCCAGGUACGGUGACUCACACCUGUAAUCCCAGCACUUUGGGAGGCCCAGGCGGGCAGAUCGGUUGAGGUCAGGAGUUUGAGACCAGCCUGGCCAGCAUGAGGAAACCCUGUCUCUACUAAAAAUACAAAAAUUAGCCAGGCAUGGUGAUGCACACCUGUAGUCCCAGCUACUCGGAAGGCUGAGGCACCAGAAUCACUUGAACCUGGGAGGUGGACAUUACAGUGAGCCGAGAUUACGUCACUGCACUCCAGCCUGGGCAACAAAGAGAGAUCCUGUCUCAGGAAGAGAAAAAAAAGUGCCACAACUCUACAGAAAAAAGCCAGGUUUGGCCAUCACGUUUGCAAAGCUGCCUCAAAAUUUGGACAAAAACCGAUAUAAAGAUGUGCUGCCUUAUGACACCACCCGGGUAUUAUUGCGGGGAAAUGAAGAUUAUAUUAACGCAAGUUACGUGAACAUGGAAAUUCCUGCUGCUAACCUUGUGAACAAGUACAUCGCCACUCAGGGGCCCCUGCCGCAUACCUGUGCACAGUUUUGGCAGGUUGUCUGGGAUCAGAAGUUGUCACUCAUUGUCAUGUUGACGACUCUCACAGAACGAGG